rnacentral:rRNA from 1 species
GACGAACGCUGUCGCCGUGCGUAAUACAUGCAGGUAGAACGCUGAAGAAGAAGCUUGCUUCUCUGGAUGAGUUGCGAGCGGGUGAGUAACGCGUAGGUAACCUGCCUGGUAGCGGGGGAUAACUAUUGGAAACGAUAGCUCUUACCGCAUAUGAGAAGAUGUUGCAUGACAUUUGCUUAAAAGGUGCGAUUGCGUCACUAUCAGAGGGACCUGCGUUGUGUUAGCUAUUUGUUGGGGUAACGGCUCACCAAGGCGACGAUACAUAGCCGAGCUGAGAGAGUGAUCGGCCACACUGUGACUGAGACACGCCCCAGACUCCUAUGGGGGAGAGCAGUGGGGAAUAUCCGGGAAUGGGCGGGGAUGUGACCGAGCAACGGCGCGGGUGUGAAGAGGGUUUUGAUCGUAUAGCUCUGUUGUUGGAAGAAAGAGGUGUGAGUGGAAAAAUCACACUUUGACGGGAUUUUUCUCAGAGGUGGCUAUCUAUGUGCCAGCAGCGCGGGAAUUACAGAGGGGAGCGUUAUUCGGAUUUUUUGGGGGAAAAAGAGUUUAGGCGGUUUUUAAGCUGAUGUGGAAGCUUGGGUAAAUGAAAUGUUGUUUGAAAAUGGAAACUUUGGAGCGAAAAAAAGGAGGGGAAUUCCCUGUGUAGGGGGGGAAACGUAAGAAUAUUGGAGAGAAUCCCUGGGGGGAAGGGGCUAUCCGUGUUUGCCAACUAACCUUAGACCUCAAAAUUGGGGGUGCGAAAAAGGUUUCAUAUUCCCAUAUUUUCCAAGGGGCCAAUUCCCCAUUUGGGUGCCGCCCCGGGGGGUUCCAUCAAUUUUGAGCGGGCCCCUCCGCGUGGGUUUCUAUUGCCCCUUAGGGGGAGGGAUUACAGGGGCUCCCCCCCCCCCCCCUAAAAAACGGCGGGCUGGGAAAACCUUGGGGGUACAUAACAUAAACGCCUUGGAGCAUUUCCUCUUUCGCCCUGGGGGGUUAAAAGCGUGGUGUCCGGG